rnacentral:rRNA from 1 species
ACCGUGAGGGAAAGGCGAAAAGAACCCCGGCGAGGGGAGUGAAAAAGAACCUGAAACCGUGUACGUACAAGCAGUGGGAGCACGCUUAGGCGUGUGACUGCGUACCUUUUGUAUAAUGGGUCAGCGACUUAUAUUCUGUAGCAAGGUUAACCGAAUAGGGGAGCCGAAGGGAAACCGAGUCUUAACUGGGCGUUAAGUUGCAGGGUAUAGACCCGAAACCCGGUGAUCUAGCCAUGGGCAGGUUGAAGGUUGGGUAACACUAACUGGAGGACCGAACCGACUAAUGUUGAAAAAUUAGCGGAUGACUUGUGGCUGGGGGUGAAAGGCCAAUCAAACCGGGAGAUAGCUGGUUCUCCCCGAAAGCUAUUUAGGUAGCGCCUCGUGAAUUCAUCUCCGGGGGUAGAGCACUGUUUCGGCAAGGGGGUCAUCCCGACUUACCAACCCGAUGCAAACUGCGAAUACCGGAGAAUGUUAUCACGGGAGACACACGGCGGGUGCUAACGUCCGUCGUGAAGAGGGAAACAACCCAGACCGCCAGCUAAGGUCCCAAAGUCAUGGUUAAGUGGGAAACGAUGUGGGAAGGCCCAGACAGCCAGGAUGUUGGCUUAGAAGCAGCCAUCAUUUAAAGAAAGCGUAAUAGCUCACUGGUCGAGUCGGCCUGCGCGGAAGACGUAACGGGGCUAAACCAUGCACCGAAGCUGCGGCAGCGACGCUGAUGCGUUGUUGGGUAGGGGAGCGUUCUGUAAGCCUGUGAAGGUGUGCUGUGAGGCAUG